rnacentral:lncRNA from 1 species
AAUCUUCACACAACCCAUGUAAUACAUAAGGUAAAGAGAGAUACAUAGUUGGUUUACAAUCGCCACUUCACACAAUUACAUGAAUAAAAGCAUUACAUCAUGCAGAUACAAUCAAGGUCCGACAACGGAACCAAAAUGAAAGAAGACUACCCCAAAUGCUACAUAGAUCCCCGAUCGUCCCGACUGGGCUCCGCUACUGAUCAACUAGAAUGAAACAACAUAAAGGACAAGAUCUUCAACUAGCUCCUCCUUGAGCUUGGUUCCGUCACCUGCUCGUUAACAUCGGCACCUGCAAACUGGUGUUGGAAGUAUCUGUGAGUCAUGGGGACUCAAUAAUCUUACACCCUCGCGAUCAAGACUAUUUAAGCUUCUGGGUAAGGUAAAUAUAUGAGGUGGAGCUAUAGCAAGCGACUAGCAUAUAUGGUGGCUAACAUACGCAACUGAGAGCGGGAAGAGAAGGCAAAGCACGGUCGAGAAUCUAUGAUCAAGAAGUGAUCCUGGACUACUUACAUCAAGCAUUACUCCAACACCAUGUUCACUUCCCGGACUCCGCCGAGAAGAUACCAUCACGGAUACACACGCGGUUGGUGCAUUUUAAUUAAGGUCAACUUCAGGUUUUCUACAACCGGACAUUAACAAAUUCCCAUCUGCCCAUAACCGCGGGCACGGCUUUCGAAAGUUCAAAUCCCUGCAGGGGUGUCCCAACUUAGCCCAUCACAAGCUCUCAUGGUCAAUGAAGUAUAUUCCUUCUAGUGGGAAGACCCGAUCAGACUCAGAAUCCCGGUUACAAGAUAUUUUGACAAUGGUAAAACAAGACCAGCAAAGCCGCCCGAUGCGUCGACAAAUCCCGAUAGGAGCUGCACAUAUCUCGUUCUCAGGGCACACCGGAUAGGUCAAGCUACGAGUAAAACCAACCCUCGAGUUGCCCCGAGGUGGACCCGCAGGCUACCCAUUUCGGACCAACACCCAGAGGAGCACUGGCCCGGGGGGGUUCAAAAUAAAGAUGACCCUCGGUCUCGCAAAAACACAAGGGAAGGUUAUAGGUUGUUAGUGCAAAUGUUAAAACCAAGGUUGGGCCUUGCUGGUGGAGUUUUAUUCAAGGCGAACUGUCAAGGGGUUCCCAUUAUAACCCAACCACGUAAGGAAUGCAAAACCCGGGAAAAUAACACCAUAUGAAGGAAACUAGGGCGGCAAGAGUGGAACAAAGCACCAGGCAUAAGGCCGAGCCUUCCACCCUUUACCAAGUAUAUAGAUGCAUUAAUUAAAUAAGAGAUAUUGUGAUAUCCCAACAAAAUAUCCAUGUUCCAACAUGGAACAAGCUCCAAUCUUCACCUGUAACUAACAACGCUAUAAGAGGGGCUGAGCAAAGCGGUAACAUAGCCAAACAACGGUUUGCUAGGACAAGGUAGCUUAGUGGUUUGACAUGGCAAUGUGGGAGGCAUGGUAAGCAAGUGAUAGGUAUCGCAGCAUAGGCAUAGCAAAAGAGCGAGCAUCUAGCAAGCAAAGAUAGAAGUGAUUUCGAGGGUAUGGUCUUCUUGACUGAAAUCCCGCAAGGAAGAAGAAUGAGUCCAUGAAGAAGACAAACGGACGUUGUCGAACGAAUCCUCACAACACGACAUUACCGGAUUACCUAGACAAAGUACACCGGAAAGAAAGAAAAUAACAUAGUAAACAACCACCACAUAAGCAUGGCACGGUGCGCAAACAAGUAUGAUGCAUGUCCAGUUUAAUGAGGCAUGGCAUGGCAAAGUGCACAAACAAUCCUACAAAUUAAGUGGAGCUCAUUAUGCAAUGGAGUUUCAUAUUGAAGAAAACACCACAUGACUUAUUUAGUUCUCUCUCGUUUAUGUACCCAACAAGAUUAAAUGUUGUUAGCAUGGCAAGAGGUGAAUCAUGAUGAAACUAUCUAAUCUAGGCAAGUUUAAAUGAGGCCGGAACAACAAAACAACAAGUCCGGAAACUCCUGAUAUGCAUAUAUUAGGUUUGGUACUGUUCUACCCUAAACAUAAUUUUAGAGUUCUUAAGCAUGCAAAGUGAAGCCACCAUGUUGAACUAGGAAAAAUUAUACCCUAUUUACAUAUAAAGUUUAUUAAAAUCCGAGCUACGGUUAUUUAGUUAUGAAUUAAAGAAUUUUAGCAUGUCCAUAAAGCAAAUUUAAACAAACAUCAUUUUAAACAUGUCAAACAUGAUUGAAAGUUGGAUAUUAUUAAACUAGAGAAGAUUCUAAGCAUGUUUCAUAUUAAGUUUGAUUUAAACCGAUGCACGGUUUAUGAGUUAUUAUAUGCAUGAAGUCUAGGGGGUUUUCAGUAAAAUAGUAGUCUCAGGAAAAAUAACUAAAUUCGUAGAGAGGGAAAAAUAAACAUGGGCUGAAACGGAACCGAGUUGGGCUGGGGAAGUUCCUCCCAUUGGGCCUCGGCCCGGAACUGUGGAGAGGGGAGGCCUGUAGCUGGUCUAACGGAUCUGGGCCACGGGGAGGCUUGCGGUCCAGGAGGCUUGCCCACGCUGGCGCUGUCUGGGCCUUGGAGGCCGAGCGGUCAACAAGCGUGACGGGGCGAGGUGAGCUGCUCUCGUCUCUAAACUCUGAAGGGCAGGAACAAAUAGCAGGGAAUGGAAUGUAGCGGCGGCUUGGGGUGGCGCAGGAUUUCGGCGGCGCUCGAGGUGGGCGGAGGAAGCGGGGACGGAUCUGGCCGCCGAAGGUCCAUUCCGGCAGGAUCCGGGCGAGCUCCUCUGCCUGUCUCUGAAGAAAGACGGGAGCGAUAGGCAUUAGAGAGAGAGAGGGAGGAGAUGACGACAGGGAGAAGGAUGAAGGAGAGGGGCGCGAGGGGCUGGCCUGUCGACGGCGUUGCUGCUGCUCCCGUUGGCGAGGCCGCGAGGCCACUCGGAACCAGAGACGGAGGGAGAUGCCAGGGGUGCGAUGGGGUGUGACUGGGGUUGCCGGCGACGACGAGGCGGGUCCUCGGAGGCACGAAGGCGAGGCCAUGCUUGCCAGGGCGGCAAGGCGUGAUUUCCUGAAGCCAAGGCAGCGACGGUCUGCGGGAGGAUGAAGAGGGAGCCUCGGGGAUGGGGCAUCAGGGCCGGAUCCCGUGCAGAGGAGGCCACAUGCGAGGUGGAGGUCCGGCGCUGAGAUGUGAUGGAGGAAGGUCGGCGGCGGCUUCCUUCGGUUCCUGUGAGAGAAAGAGAGAGAGGUCAGAGGAUGGAGUAGAGGCAGGGAAGAAAAAUGAAAAGAGCAGGGGAGGUCUGGCCUGUCGACGGCGGUCAACAGGGUGGCGGUGUCUCGGGCUCACAGGCGACGAGGAGGAGGCAGGCAGUAGGGCCCUCAGUGGCUGCUGCUGCGAUUUUGUGCGGCGCUGAAAAACAGGGAGGGGUCGGAGAGGACUAGGAUCGGGAGGAGAACAGUGGUUGGUCCGAUCUGGAAAACAAGGAGGAAAGUGAUGGCUUCGGUUGGUGGUUUGGAUCGGGAGGGGAUCCCAAGGAGGAGGAGAUAGUGGGCUGGCGGCGGCGGAGGAUGGGACAAGAUCCCUAGUUUCUAGGUUUUGGUCUAGAUUUAGACUAGGGGGUAACUAUAUAUAUAUAAGGAAAGAGGGAAAGUGUAGGGGUUAAUCCGUCCCUCCGAUCGUAAUCGGAUGGUCGGAAAAAAUAGGCUAGGGAGCUCAAUAAGAAAACGGAGACGUUUUGUAGACGUUUGGGGAUGAUCCGGACACAACGGUGGCGACUGCCCGGGUCGGGUCCGGGACAGCUUUCGGACGCGCGCGUGAGGAUUGGCCGCGGGCGGAUGAGAGAGGUUAGGUAGGGUCUGACGGUGAGUAGUGGACUGUGCAGAAGGUCUCAGGCUAAGAGAAGAGAAGAGAGGCCCGGUGACUGUUUCCGGAGACCGAAAACGUCCGACGUUAGACCGACUAUAUUGCCGCUAUAGAUUAACGGUUGGGCUAUCCAAUGAACUCCGAAUGCGAUGAAACUUGACAGGCGGUCUAUCUACACUAUAAUAAGACCACACGCCAACUUUCAACCCAAUCCGAGAACAUUUUCCGGCCACUUAUAAAAUACUAUUUCGGACAUGCCGCGGGCGCGUGCAAGUGUGUCUGGGCUCAGAACGUACAACGGGCGGAACUAGGAGACCCGGACUAAUGCAAGUUUCGAAAACAUGAUGAUGCAAUGCACAUGAUGACAUGAUGAAAAGCAACACGCAAGCAAAUGACAUGGCAACGCCGGUGAAUAACUGGAAGACACCUGGGGCAACGAUCUCGGGGCAUUACAACACUCCACCACUAUGAGAGGAUCUCGUCCGAAGAUCUAGAAUGGCACCGGGAGGACAACGGAAGAGAAGGAGAAGAGGUAAAACUAAGUUGCUUCUUUGACCAAUGAGUGAAACCAAAGAACCUUGAAAAUGUUAAGCCAUUUCGAGAAAAAUAUACAACGGAGAUGACGAAGUUGACAACACUCUGUUUUAAAAGAGGAACACGGGAGAACAACUUCGGGCAGCACUCCAAUUGAAAAGAAAAAGAAUUGAAUAAGAACUUGGCCAGAUGAGAACAUACUUGAUGAGAUCAACAACACAUUGUCUCUAGAACUAUUGAAAGAAUGGCACAAUGGGUAAGAAAGAUCUCAGACAGCACUCCGGUUGAGAAGGGAGUCAAGAUUUGAUAAGAUGAGAGAGCUCGAAUGAAAACACGACACUCCGAUUGGAUGGAUAAGCAAGAGAAAGAACAUGAAUUUCACAAUACGAGAUGAUGAGUGAAGAGAACAUCAUCACAAUGCCUCCGGAAGAAAUAUAAGAAUGGAAAAGAAAGGAAUAGAGAAGAAGACAACAAGUUUUUCCUGAAAUGAAUUUGGGAGAGCAUCCAUAAAAAGAAGGAUUGAAUGGAGUUGUUGGGAAAUCAACAACGAAAAGAAUAAGAUUGAUAUGGUCUUAUGGAAUACAUCUCAAAUUAUGAGGUGACAACCUGCUACUCACGGGAAAAAGAAUUGGAUUGAUAAGAACAAGUAGACAAGAAGCUAUUUCACCGGGAGGAUAAAAGAAAAUCUUGGGUCACUUAUGAGCACCAUAGAUAGCAACAAUCCUUAGGGAAGGCUUUAGGUGAAACAUGACACAAGAUAGCUCCAACUAGUUGGUUGAUGGAUUUCAAAUACCUCUUUCUUAAUAACAUGUGAAUCAUGAAACAUGAACUCAAAUUAUCAAGAAUGACAUAAUGCCACCUCGAAUGAUAUGGUUGAAAGAAUUGCACUCCGGAUUACAAGAUGAAGAAUGCUUGAACUCCUGUGAAAAGAAUCUUGAUGAAUGCUUCGAGAAGGGGAAAAAAUCCUUGAUGAACCAUCAUGUAGAGUCUCCAUGAAGAACUUCGGUAAACAAAAGGAUGACGAAAAGAAAAGGAAGUUGAAAACAUAAGGUGAAUCCUUGUACCGAUUUAGAUGAAUCUCCAUGGUGAAAUAGUUGGAAAAGAUUGGAACUCCGGGAGAAAUAGAGGAUGAACAAUUGAAAUCAGGAAUUUAAUCAUCAUGAACAAACUCCGGAAGAAAAAAUUAACAUAUGGAUGAAACAAGAAUAAGAAUUACAUUAUGCUUAUCCUUCACCAAUUUAGAUUGAUGACAAGCAACGGAUUUGGCAUACUACUUAUUCUCGUAGAAGAAAAUAAGAGAGAUAUAACAUAAACUUGAGAAUGUCUUCCACGAACCACCGGUAGGAAUUUGGAAGAACAAAUAAAUUGAUAAAGAAGACAAAUCUUGAACGAACCACCGUAAGAAUUAAAAAUGAACGAAGAGAAGAUAAAGAAAACACCGGAAAGAAUUAGCAAAUGAAUGAAGAUGGUUGAGAGAAUUUAUAUAUGAGAGAACAAAGAGAUCACGCACUGAUUAGAGGAUAUUUGAUCGAUGCACUCGUAAGAUUUAGAGAAUUAGAGUUGAAAGCUGAGGAUGAAUAAUUCUUCUGUAAUGAUGGGCUCCGGAUGAAUCAAACUGAAAAUACUCUGAAUUACUCUGGAUGGGUGAAAAGUAAUUUUCACAACCGAAACAAUUAUGGGAGGAUGGCAGAGAAUGGGGUAAGAUUUAAAAGAAACUCUUCUUCGGUCUUCAAAUGUUGUGGAUGACGACGAGAAACAACACCAAGAAUUAUUGAGGCACACUGGAAUGAAGAAUGGAAAAGUUGAGCCAACGAUGAAAAGAAAUGAAAGAACUUGGAGAAAGGCAUUUGACUGAUGACAAUCAUUCUUACGUCAAACUUCGAAAAGAAAUUUGAGGAUAGCUCCGGAAAAAAAUAAGUAGAGUCAGGUAAGAUCCUGGGAAAAGACCUGUGUGUUAGGGCCCACUCAAAAGAAACACCGUUGAAAUGAUUAAAGGAGAGAUUGCACUAGUUGAAUUAAAAGGCUUGAAUGAGAUAACAUCCUCAAAAUAGCUUGAACGGAUUAAGAGUGGAAACACGAAUAUUCUGUGAUAUCUUUAGCACUCUGGAACAAAAGAAUAACAAGUGGGGAAGAUUAAGAGGUGCACCGGCAUAAAUAGGCAUUGGGCAAAAAGAAAAGGAGUAUGAUCAAUACCAAAGCUUGAAUUAAAUCCACCGGAGAAGAAAAUGAGUGACGAGAGACGAACUUGAAGCUUCGUUAGCAUCUUCUUGAGAAUCACCGGAUAAGAAUAUUGACGAAAAAGGAAUGGAGAAGCUUCCCAUUAAUAAAAGGAUACUUGAAUAAGAAAUCCGAGUCCUUGAAGAAAAAGGGUGGGUGGGUGGGGAAAACAAAGGCAACUUGGAGACGGAUGAAACAAACACCGUUGAGAAGAACUGAUAAUUGAUCUUACUGAUGUUGAAAUGAUUGGAUCCACUUGAAGAGAAACACGCCGGUUAAAAAGGAUUGACAAAACAAUCUUGAUGAUCAAGAAGGAUUGGUAUUCACCUCGGAGUAUGAGAACACCAUUUGGGGAAGGUAUGGAAUCAAACACUUGACAUUGAAGCAACUCGAAUACCACAACUCAAAACAAAACAAAGGAUUGGCUUGCAAAAUAAGCCGGAACAAACAUAUGAUAGAGAUUUCAUCCGAAGUUUUCGUGGUGGGGCUUACACGGGCUCGAUCAUACAGCACCAUCAUGUACAAGGCAGUGCACAUGACAUACGAAGCAUCCCCGAGUCAGCAUAGCCAAGGACUCUUUAAGACACAACGAGACCACUGUAAAACCAACCGUGGAUAGGCGGACCACUAGACGUCGAACCCCAAUUUCAUAUCAUACAUCUGUUGGAAAGAUAUCCUAAGAGCUACUUGAAUUCCCACUUAUAAACUGCCGAAAUUUUCCGGUUAUGCAAUCAGGUGUUGGGGAUACAGGGGAAGCAUAAUAUCUCACCCAAAUCUAGCAAAUCCUACACCCAGAUGUAUCCAUCCUUCAACACAUAACCAAGAAACCUUCGGAAAUCAUCUACCUCAACCUUUGAAAAGCAUCUGUUAUACGAGUUAUGGCAAUACUCCUGAACUCCCGCCCCAGUACUGGGUGGCAUCAAGGUUAUCUCACCAACAACUGCAUAAAAGAAUUUUCGAUGUCGGCGAAUCUAAUCUCAAGUAUUCCGGAACUGCAACGAUAAAAUUGUGACGACAACACCUCGGAGCUCAACUCCCAGGGACACUGUCACAACCCCUAAAUGACAGGAGGCACCAAGAACAAUGUUCUCGUCACAAAACCAUCGAAACGAUUCCAAGAUACCCGCGUGAUCCUAAAAUUUUUUAGUGAAAAAGAAGAGAAGAGUCAAAACUCUACGUCAGGAUGCCUUACCAGAGCGACGAAGGGACUGAGGAGUAAAAAGAAUUCCUAACCCUCUGAUAUAUAUAAUUCCUAAAUGACUCAAAACAUUUUUCUAGACUCAAUAACGUCAGCGAUUCGAUCAAGCAGGGGGCUCCUAAAGUCGGGGAAGGCUCUGAUUACCAACUUGUAGCGCCCUCGAUGCGGAUAUAUCUCCCACGUGUCGAAGCACGACUUAGAGGCAUAACCGCAUUGAAAGCAAUGUUGCAAGUGAGGUAAUCUUCACACAACCCAUGUAAUACAUAAGGGAAAGAGAGAUACAUAGUUGGCUUACAAUCUCCACUUCACACAAUUACAUGAAUAAAAGCACUACAUCAAGGUUCGACUACGGAACCAGAAUGAAAGAAGACUACCCCCAAUGCUACAAAGAUCCCCGAUCGUCCCGACUGGGCUCCGCUACUGAUCAACUAGAAUGAAACAACAUAAAGCACAAGAUCUUCAACGAGCUCCUCCUUGAGCUUGGUUGCGUCACCUGCUCGGUAACAUCGGCACCUGCAAACUGGUUUUGGAAGUAUCUGUGAGUCACGGGGACUCAGCAAUCUUACACCCUCGUGAUCAAGACUAUUUAAGCUUAUGGGUAAGGUAAACGUAUGAGGUGGAGCUGCGGCAAGCGACUAGCAUAUAUGGUGG